UUUGGGGUUUUUUGUUUUGUUUUUUGACCAGUGGAUGGUUCUUCAUUUCCUUCUUGGCAUUUCACAAAGAACCUGAUCUAAAAGAAGCCCCCUCAGAAGCUGAAGUUGCUGUGCUGCAGUUUCUUCCUGCUUUUUCCUGAAGAACUGGAUCUAAGAGUAUCACUUUCACAAGUAAAACCUUUCAAAUAAGUGGGAAGGAGGUUCAGAAAGGAUGGAAAUGGCAGCACAGGAAGCUCUCUGAAGAAGGAAUCAAAAGACUGUCCUGAUUUCUCCACUGCCUUUUAACCUCAGGCUUACAGAGAAAUGGAACCACAGAUACAGAUCCUGCAGAUAUGAGGGGCUACUGUAAUAAAAAUGGACCACGCUGCAACUAGCAAACAUGGAGUUGCCACAGUCAUUACUAUGAAGACAAAAUGAUGGAGACUGCAAUAGCAGAGAACAACCCUGUCAGGAAAGGGUUCUUGACUUUUUGUAAGGAAAAAAACCAAUACUUUUUCUAUUCUGGACAGAGAAUUCUGAGGGACAGUACUUGUAAAAAACAAAACAAAAGACCUCCAACAAAGCAGGAAUAACAACAACAGCCUCUUCAGCUAGUUACUCUAUCCUCAAAGUGUGUCUAGAGCUUGUCUUGAUAAACAACAGUCAGCUUGUUUUUAAGUUGCCAGAAACAUUUUAUAGCAUGCCACAGCUUGUUUUGCAAAAAGGCUUGUUUUUCUAAUGAGGUCUGCACAUGGAGAGCCUAGCCAUUAAUUUGUUUUGCCCAGUUUGCAGAUAGGCCACACCUUCUGCAGGAAGGACCAAGACACCAUUAAACAAAGUUGAGUGAGCAGCUAAUUGGAAAAUGUUCAUAUGCAGGAUUAUUUAAUUACAGGUGAAACUG